UCUUCACACACGUCGUCUGCGAUAAAAUUUGGAUGGUGACAGAAUUUACGGAAAAUUUGAAUCGGAGAUAUGGAGACUAGCAGCGUGGCAGCAGGAGCAAAUUUUGGCCGUGAUGAGGCGUAUACCACCAUGAACAUUUCUGCAAUUGCAGUCACCACCACCACUGCUGCCACCACUAUCAGUGCUGCUGAUGCCACCACCACCAAGUCUGCUUCUGCCACUGCCAUCACCAUUGCCACCGCCACUAUAAAGACCACUCCUGACACAAAGCCCCCAAGUCCUCAACUGACCAGAUAUUGCAGCUGGAGAAGGAUAGACCAGGAACUUCAAAGCCAGGGCUUGUUGGUCUCCUACAAUAAGAAAAAUGCCAAGGGCCCAUCUAAUGAACUUGUAGAAUAUUUGGCCACAGUUGUAGAAAUGCAGAGACUAACAUACUGCCACAGGUGAGGCUUUGUCCGCAGUUCCGGAAAGACAAGCCAUGCCAAAAUCAACGACUGAAGGGUUUGGAGCGCCAGACAAAGAGCCUAGAAAUGUGAUUUAACCGUACUUCAAUCACAUGAACAGUAGCAGGAGCAAAAACAGCAGCAAACACACAGGAGAUGUAACGACUACAUUGACCAAUACCAACAACUACAGCAGCAU
rnacentral:lncRNA from 1 species